ACUUCGGUACAUCGGUGACAGGUGGUGCAUGGUUGUCGUCAGCUCGUGUCGUGAGAUGUUGGGUUAAGUCCCGCAACGAGCGCAACCCCUAUUGUUAGUUGCCAUCAUUCAGUUGGGCACUCUAGCGAGACUGCCGGUAAUAAACCGGAGAAGUGGGGAUGACGUCAAAUCAUCAUGCCCCUUAUGACCUGGGCUACACACGUGCUACAAUGGUUGGUACAACGAGUUGCGAGUCGGUGACGGCGAGCUAAUCUCUUAAAGCCAAUCUCAGUUCGGAUUGUAGGCUGCAACUCGCCUACAUGAAGUCGGAAUCGCUAGUAAUCGCGGAUCAGCACGCCGCGGUGAAUACGUUCCCGGGCCUU
rnacentral:rRNA from 1 species